AAGUCGUAACAAGGUCUCCGUUGGUGAACCAGCGGAGGGAUCAUUACCGAGUUUACAACUCCCAAACCCCUGUGAACAUACCUAUACGUUGCCUCGGCGGAUCAGCCCGCGCCCCGUAACAAGGGACGGCCCGCCCGAGGACCCCUAAACUCUGUUUUUAGUAGAACUUCUGAGUAAAACAAACAAAUAAAUCAAAACUUUCAACAACGGAUCUCUUGGUUCUG
rnacentral:misc_RNA from 1 species